rnacentral:rRNA from 1 species
CAACAGGGAUUGCCUUAGUAACUGCGAGUGAAGCGGCAAAAGCUCAAAUUUGAAAUCUGACGUCUUCGGCGUCCGAGUUGUAAUUUGGAGGGAUAACUUCGGGGUUGGCGCCGUCCUAAGUUCCUUGGAACAGGACGUCACAGAGGGUGAGAAUCCCGUGCCUGGAUGGCUGUCCAACUCCAUGUGAAGUGUCUCCGACGAGUCGAGUUGUUUGGGAAUGCAGCUCAAAAUGGGUGGUAAAUUUCAUCUAAAGCUAAAUAUUGGCGAGAGACCGAUAGCGCACAAGUAGAGUGAUCGAAAGAUGAAAAGCACUUUGAAAAGAGAGUUAAAAAGUACGUGAAAUUGUUGAAAGGGAAGCGCUUGCGACCAGACUCGAUCUUUGGUGAUCAGCCGGGCUUCUGUCCGGUGCCCUCGCCAUUGAUUGGGCCAGCAUCGGUUCUGACGGCGGGAUAAAAGGAGGAGGAAUGUGGCUCCCUUCGGGGAGUGUUAUAGCCUCCUUCACAAUGCCGCCAGUUGGGACCGAGGACCGCGCUUCGGCUAGGAUGCUGGCGUAAUGGUCUUAAGCGACCCGUCUUGAAACACGGACCAAGGAGUCUAACAUCUAUGCGAGUGUUCGGGUGGAAAACCCUUGCGCGUAAUGAAAGUGAACGGAGGUGUGAACCCUUUACGGGGUGCAACAUCGACCGGUCCUGAUGUCUUCGGAAGGAUCUGAGUAAGAGCAUAGCUGUUGGGACCCGAAAGAUGGUGAACUAUGCCUGAAUAGGGUGAAGCCAGAGGAAACUCUGGUGGAGGCUCGCAGCGGUUCUGACG